rnacentral:tRNA from 1 species
GGAGGGUACAGCUCAGUGAUCGAGCGUGUGCUUAGCAUGCAUGAGGUUGUGGGUUCAAUCCCCAGAACCUCCA